rnacentral:rRNA from 1 species
UACGAAGGGUGCGAGCGUUAUUCGGAAUCACUGGGCGUAAAGAGUGCGUAGACGGUCCAUUAAGUUUGUUGUUAAAGACUCUAGCCUAACUGGAGGGUUGCAAUGAAAACUGGUGAGCUAGAGGGUGAGAGAGAGAAGUGGAAUUCCCGGAGUAGCGGUAAAAUGCGUGGAUCUCGGGAGGAACACCAAUGGCGAAGGCAGCUUCUUGGUUCAUUCCUGACGUUGAGGCACGAAAGCGUGGGGAGCAAACAGG